UAAGAGUCCCGUCUGCCCUGUGAUAUUAUUUAACGGCUGCAGUAACAUAACUGUACAAAGGUAGCGUAAUCACUUGUCUUUUAAUUAAAGACCUGUAUGAAUGGCAUCACGAGGAUUCAACUGUCUCUAUUUUCCCAUCAAUUAAAUUAUUCUCUUCGUGCAGAAACGAAGAUUAUCCUAUAAGACGAGAAGACCCUAUGGAGCUUCAAACAGACUAAGAAUAUUCACAAAUCUAUAUCACUUAUAACCUGUUUUUGGUUGGGGCGACCAUGAAGAACAACACAACCCUCAUAAGGAAUGAAACUCCUAAAACACGAACGACAGUUCUAAUUAACAGAAUUUCUGACCAUCAAGACCCAGUACAACUGAUUAAUGAACUAAGUUACCCUAGGGAUAACAGCGCAAUUUUCUUCAAGAGCCCCUAUCGACAAGAAAGUUUACGACCUCGAUGUUGGAUCAGGACAUCCUAACAGUGCAACCGCAGUUAAGGGUUCGUUUGUUCAACG
rnacentral:rRNA from 1 species